rnacentral:rRNA from 1 species
UACGUAGGGGGCAAGCGUUGUCCGGAUUUAUUGGGCGUAAAGAGCGUGUAGGCGGCCAUGUAGGUCCGUUGUGAAAACUCGAGGCUCAACCUCGAGACGCCGAUGGAAACCAUGUGGCUAGAGUCCGGAAGAGGAGAGUGGAAUUCCUGGUGUAGCGGUGAAAUGCGCAGAUAUCAGGAGGAACACCAAUGGCGAAGGCAGCUCGCUGGGACGGUACUGACGCUGAGGCGCGAAAGCGUGGGGAGCAAACCAGG